GUCCCUAUAGCUCAAUGGAUAGAGCGCAGGUUUGCGGAACCUGAGAUCGAGGUUCAAUUCCUCGUAGGGGCA
rnacentral:tRNA from 1 species